UCGCAUCGUUUACAUACGUUCAAUUUCAAAAUUUACAUCCAACAACAUCAGAAAAUUGCUGACAACACUAGUCCAUCAUUAUCGUAGAACAAACUUAGCUAAACUUCGAAAAACCAUAGGAAAAGUUAGUAAUAACCGAUCAAAAAUGCUUUGAAAAAUAAUUCCACUUAGUAAACAGUAAAUCAUCACUUUCCCAAUCUUUUUUUUUUUUUUUUUUCAUCGUUUCCAAUCUAUCAUUUUGAACUAUCGUAGCUACUAAAUUUCAUUUAUGGACCUGUAACUACGUCCCUAGGUACAACCACAAUGAGUGUCGCUUGUUAACGAUUUAAUUCAUUGCCUCGCCAUAUCCGUUCCACCAACUAUACCCACUGACACGUUUCCCAGUCAAUUCACCGUCACUGUCUCUUGGUCAUCGUUGAUAUAUUUGCAACAUGGUCGUUCGUUCGUACAGCCUAACCGUACCGCCACAAUCUCUUUGCUAGUCAGUAGCUUCAUGAUCCUUGUUCAGCGAGCCUGUGUAGUGAACGUUUCUCUAACUUCUACGUGCAACAAUUCAUCCAAUAUAAAACAUAGUUGAUGACCAAACAUAGUCCUCAAUUUUUGAAUCGGCGCCGAAUCUCGCCACCGUAACCUAUCGCAAUGUAACCUCAAAACCCGGAUAACAGUUGAACUGUCAUCGGGUCAUGACUAUCAUUUUGUCAAGAUACUGUUACCGUAUGAUGUAUGUGCGAAAGUGUCAAGUGCCAAUUUUUUGUUGUCUAAAUUAAAGAUAAUACUAAUUCGUUCCUGUUGAUAAAACUUGAGAGUAAAUUGUGUAAGAACAUUGUGACAUCGUAUAAAACAGAAAAAAAAGAAAAAAAAAAUAAAAGAAUGCUUCGU